UCCCGUUUAGCUCAGCUGGUAGAGCGCGUCACUAGUACCUUACGCAGGUCAAAUGACGAGGUCAGUCGUUCAAGUCGGCUAAUGGGAA